AUUGAACGCUGGCGGCAUGCCUUACACAUGCAAGUCGAACGGUAACAGGUCUUCGGAUGCUGACGAGUGGCGGACGGGUGAGUAAUACAUCGGAACGUGCCUAGUAGUGGGGGAUAACUACUCGAAAGAGUGGCUAAUACCGCAUGAGAUCUACGGAUGAAAGCAGGGGAUCGCAAGACCUUGUGCUACUAGAGCGGCUGAUGGCAGAUUAGGUAGUUGGUGGGAUAAAAGCUUACCAAGCCGACGAUCUGUAGCUGGUCUGAGAGGACGAUCAGCCACACUGGGACUGAGACACGGCCCAGACUCCUACGGGAGGCAGCAGUGGUGAAUUUUGGACAAUGGGCGCAAGCCUGAUCCAGCAAUGCCGCGUGCAGGAUGAAGGCCUUCGGGUUGUAAACUGCUUUUGUACGGAACGAAAAGCCCUGGGUUAAUACCCUGGGGUCAUGACGGUACCGUAAGAAUAAGCACCGGCUAACUACGUGCCAGCCGCCGCAGUAACAC
rnacentral:rRNA from 1 species